rnacentral:rRNA from 1 species
UGCGACCUACGGGGCGCAGCAGUAGGGAAUCUUCCACAAUGGACGAAAGUCUGAUGGAGCAACGCCGCGUGAGUGAAGAAGGGUUUCGGCUCGUAAAGCUCUGUUGGUAGUGAAGAAAGAUAGAGGUAGUAACUGGCCUUUAUCUGACGGUAAUUACAUAGAAAGUCACGGCUAACUACGUGCCAGCAGCCGCGGUAAUACGUAGGUGGCAAGCGUUUUCCGGAUUUAUUGGGCGUAAAG